CUAUUUAUAGAGUGGCGCACGGGUGUAGUAACGCGUGGGAACCUGCCUUUUUCUGCGGGAUAACGGUUGGAAACGACCGCUAAUACCGCAUACGCCCUACGGGGGAAAGGUCCGCCGGAAAAAGAGGGGCCCGCGUCUGAUUAGCUUGUUGGUAGGGUAAUGGCCUACCAAGGCGACGAUCAGUAGCUGGUCUGAGAGGAUGAUCAGCCACACUGGGACUGAGACACGGCCCAGACUCCUACGGGAGGCAGCAGUGGGGAAUAUUGGACAAUGGGGGCAACCCUGAUCCAGCAAUGCCGCGUGUGUGAUGAAGGCCUUAGGGUUGUAAAGCACUUUCACUGGUGAAGAUGAUGACGGUAACCAGAGAAGAAGCCCCGGCUAACUUCGUGCCAGCAGCCGCGGUAAUACGAAGGGGGCGAGCGUUGUUCGGAAUUACUGGGCGUAAAGGGCGCGUAGGCGGUCUUUUAAGUUAGGCGUGAAAGCCCCGGGCUCAACCCCGGGAACUGCGCUUAAGACUGGAAGACUAGAAAACGGAAGAGGGUAGUGGAAUUCCCAGUGUAGAGGUGAAA
rnacentral:rRNA from 1 species